AGUGAACGCUGGCGGUAGGCCUAACACAUGCAAGUCGAACGGCAGCACAGUAAGAGCUUGCUCUUACGGGUGGCGAGUGGCGGACGGGUGAGGAAUACAUCGGAAUCUACUUUUUCGUGGGGGAUAACGUAGGGAAACUUACGCUAAUACCGCAUACGACCUACGGGUGAAAGCAGGGGAUCUUCGGACCUUGCGCGAUUGAAUGAGCCGAUGUCGGAUUAGCUAGUUGGCGGGGUAAAGGCCCACCAAGGCGACGAUCCGUAGCUGGUCUGAGAGGAUGAUCAGCCACACUGGAACUGAGACACGGUCCAGACUCCUACGGGAGGCAGCAGUGGGGAAUAUUGGACAAUGGGCGCAAGCCUGAUCCAGCCAUACCGCGUGGGUGAAGAAGGCCUUCGGGUUGUAAAGCCCUUUUGUUGGGAAAGAAAAGCAGCAGGCUAAGACCCCGCUGUUCUGACGGUACCCAAAGAAUAAGCACCGGCUAACUUCGU
rnacentral:rRNA from 1 species